UGGUAAUCUCUAUACUAACUGUAGCCAGAGAUAUUGUGCUCAGCCUCAUCAGGGAUCCUCUUUUCGUGACAGCCCACUAGAGAUUUCAAGAGACAGUGCUCACCAGUGGUGCAGGCUGCAUUUCAAAUGAUGGCAUACAAUCCUUGAAUAGCAGGAGGAGUUGGCAUGGAGUGACCAAAAGAAUUUUAACCAGAUUAUAAAAAGCAGUGUCUUUAAUCUGAGAGGCCAUCAUUUUCAGGAUGACAAGAUAUGACAAAAUAGAAUAAAACUGAUCUGUGAGUUCAAUGAAGAAGACUGAGAAGACCAACUUCCUUUGCAGCUUUGUGUGUCACUGGAUACAGAAGAAGUGUACAAGGCAAUAUCUGGGUUGUGCCUCCAAAGGGAAUUGUGUACCCUCUCCUUUCCAAUUCCUUCUUGUUGGACAAGAUGGUAGACAUUGUGAGUUGGAAGACAUGCACUGAAGCCUGGACUCUUGACAACUUUGAGGAGAAAAGCUACAAUAUCAGCUUGGAGUUUUAUGGAAAAGAAAUCAAUUUUGAGCUGCCUAAUUUACUUUUAGCACUCUGUGUCACAACAUCUAAGUCUAUCUAAGAUGUCAGGAGUUCCUUGGCUUUUGGUAUAUUGUAGUGUUUACCUUACCUUCCUUAUAAAGACCUUUCUUUUUUCUUUUGCUUACAUAGACCCUUUCAUUCUUCUAAUAUGAGCUGCUCUCCAGUCAGCCAAAGACACCCCUGUCUUCAAUUGUCCUCAUUGAGUAUUCGUUUUUCCAAUUUUACAUAUAACCCCCAUUCCCAGAGCCCUACUUCUUUUGGUCUCUGACUGAAGCAGAGCCAUGUGUAUUGAGAUGAAGAUAAGCAGGAGAUUCAGCUAAUGUCUAGGGAAGAUGGUGAGCAAGACAAGGGACUGGGUAAAAGCCAAAUGUCAGAUGAAGCAGCCAAACAAAUAUCUGUUUGCAGGGAAAAGGUAGGGAUCAGGAAGAAAUGGGGUUUAUAUAAAACUGAGUUUAAAAUUCAGGCAGAUAAAUAGGAACAGAGACCAAGGAGAAUUUGGAAGUUAAAAUGCAGCAGUGAAAGUCAGAUAUGCAAUGGGGAGACAAAAAAUUGCCUCAGGUAGGAAGCGCUUCAGAGCUUACCUGUUGUAGCAGGAACUCAUAGCUGACUCAGGCUGAAAUCCAAGAACCCAGCCAUGUAGCAAUGACAGGUCCUGAACUAGCCUCCCAGAAUUU
rnacentral:lncRNA from 1 species